CACAAACUUCCUCCGCCCCAAAUUCUUGUCUUAGGUUUGUCUAUAAAUAAAUGUAUCAAAAUACUAAAACGUGAUUAGAUACUUUCAUAUCUGGAUAAAUAUAAAACAAGAAUUUUGGGACGGAGGGAGUAGUAC
rfam:Hordeum vulgare subsp. vulgare, WGS project CAJW01000000 data, contig: morex_contig_1560266